GACGGCAAUCCCGGGUUGGGAGAGGCGACACCAUAGCAACACCAGACCUAGAAAAGUGGAUCACAGGCAAACACAGGAAAGUGCUUCAGAGGCGCGAGGCCAGGAAGAGGCGCGUUGAUUGUCUGCUGCGCCCGCGCCGGGAGGACCGGCGGCCUGCACAGCUGCCCAGAACCUGCACACGCAAACCAGCUUCUGGGAUUCACAGGAAAACACUGAAAAAACACAGGCUUGCUGUUUCUGGGUUUCCUAUGAAAACACUGCCUCCCGUGAGUGCCUGCUGUUCUCCAUGGAGUGUUUGGCUACAGACGGAGGCGGACAUCCCACGCCCCCAUGUGCUCUUCUGUCUUGUGGUGGCUGCAAAGAGAAAUGUGGGCAAAAAGCACAUUUUCAAACCACCAGCUCAAUGUGUUUGGGAACUUUUAGUCUGCAGAAAAUUUCUCAGCACUCACGAUCUUUCAGGGCACUCAGCCUAUUCCCCAGGUCCCGAAAACCCCACUAAGAAUUAAGGAGAAAAUCAGCAACCUUCCCUCAAUGUUGUGGGAGACGCUCACCUAAACUGUGAAGGUGAGAAGACUCAAAAUGAGAUCCCAUCUCUUCCAACUGGUGGCCGGCAUGGACAGUCAGAGGCUCCUGGUGUUUGAGGGGCUUCCAUUCUGCCUAGACGACCACCCCUCCCACCCCCAUCACAAGACCACCAACAGCCAGCACAGUCAUGGGGGUCAGUGGGGGAGUCGGGGGAGAUGGACACCCCACACCCCAGGCUUCGAGCCUGCUGCCCCAGGGGGCCAGGACCCCAGAGAAUCUGAACCUGUCACAGCAUACUAGGUAGUCUGGAGAGCACAGCCUCUGGUGACUUCAUGUCUAGUGUUCUCCUGUACCAGCACAUCCCACAGCAAAGAUAUCAGACAGCCUCUUGCCCCGGGUAGCAGGAAGGCCCUGAGGAGGAUCUGAGCUGUGCCAGUUGGCUCAGAUGGGGGUCCCCUGGACGCAGUACCAGCCUUGACAGUCAUCCCGAGAAGAAAGGUGAGUGUAAUGCUGAGCUUUCCUUGGACUGCGGAGCAGAGCUAUCCAUUCAUGUUACCCAGGCUCAAGGAAUAAUGUCACACACAGGAGCCCCUUUCACAUACCAUGAAAUAGAACAAGUCCUCAGACAAAGGGUUCUCAAAUAUGGUGCCUAAGUCUUUUGGGGAGUUGGAAUAGAAAGAUUACACAAACCCUGGGAUAGUGUUUGGGUUUGGGCAGUUGGGAGCUUCUGGCAUCUCAUGAGGAAGCAGCUGGCCCCC
rnacentral:lncRNA from 12 species